AUGAAGGCACUGUAUGAGGGACGGUUCGCUUCUUUUGGAAUCGUGAACAACUCCAUUGUCACGUUGCUGCCUAAAAAGAUUGAUUCUCUGGACGUCAGUGAUUUCAGGCUGAUUAACCUCAUCCAUGGUGCAGCGAAGAUUUUUGCCAAGGUAUUAGCUGUUCGGUUGGCCCCUCUGUUACCGUCUCUAAUAUCGCAGGCUCAGAGUGCUUUCGUCAGCAGACGCAAUAUCCACGAGAACUUCAAAUUUGUACGCAACACUGCUAAGCUGCUGCACCGUAAGAAGCUACCAUCGGUACUCAUGAAAAUAGAUAUUUCUAAAGCCUUCGACACUUCAUCUUGGGAAUUCCUCCUGGAGGUUUUGAGAAAAAAGGGGCUUUGGAUCGAGGUGGUGCGCCUAGAUCUACGGGCUUCUAUCCACGGCCUCCUCCUCCGUACUCAUCAAUGGUGA
rnacentral:rRNA from 1 species